rnacentral:misc_RNA from 1 species
AUAUAUUGUUUAUAUUUUUUAUACCAUGCAAAUAGAUUCCUUAUCAAUGAGUUUUGUGAGAGCUACACUUAUUCAUUGCCUCAAGGCAAAGGGUGACGACACCACCACCAAUGAAGAUGUGGCCGUUUGCUCCUCAUAUAGUAUAUGCUUUCUUGACGACGGAAUAAGAACCACACAAGUUGGCCAUUCUUCAUUCCUUUCAAGUUAAAGAAACCAAUCACUAUAUUUUUGUCCACAAAUGUCAUUUUAACUAGUUAAUCCCAAUUCCCAACUUAAUACGUACAAUUAUUAAUGGUUUUUGUUGAAACAAAUUUCAUUUUCAUUAGGUUUAAGUGGUGAUUUUACCUAUAAUUAAGCAUGAAUUAAUAAUUUAUUAGUUAACUGAUUUUAUCAGUUCUUGUCUUUAAUAACAAAUAAGAAGUCGAUUUGAA